AACGAACGCUGGCGGCAGGCCUAACACAUGCAAGUCGAACGAAGUCUUCGGACUUAGUGGCGGACGGGUGAGUAACACGUGGGAACGUGCCUUUAGGUUCGGAAUAACUCAGGGAAACUUGUGAUAAGAACGAAUGUGCCCUUCGGGGGAAAGAUUUAUCGCCUUUAGAGCGGCCCGCGUCUGAUUAGCUAGUUGGUGAGGUAAAGGCUCACCAAGGCGACGAUCAGUAGCUGGUCUGAGAGGAUGAUCAGCCACAUUGGGACUGAGACACGGCCCAAACUCCUACGGGAGGCAGCAGUGGGGAAUCUUGCGCAAUGGGCGAAAGCCUGACGCAGCCAUGCCGCGUGAGUGAUGAAGGUCUUAGGAUUGUAAAGCUCUUUCACCGAUGAAGAUAAUGACGGUAGUCGGAGAAGAAGCCCCGGCUAACUUCGUGCCAGCCGCCGCGGUAACAC
rnacentral:rRNA from 1 species